CAGAAAUGAGCUCUCAGACCUUCUCCCAGACACUUCUCCAUUUGUAGGUUCCCUGAGAGAGCAGAGGAGGGGACGACCCAGGCCUUUUCACCUUCUGGACUACCUGUCUGGUGCUCUGGGUACUGGCGGGCUGGGCUGGAAUCCAAGAACCAAAUACGCACUGCCCGGCUAGGAUGGCACAGAGUUGAGACACCCAUCCAACAAGUCCUCUAUGUCUCGGCGGUGAUACCCAGCACAACCAAAAGCAGGGCUCAGCACUUGCUGGCCUCUCCUUGGAUUGCAGUGAAUUUGGCUGGAGCUUGAUGGAUUAAAAUUUUGCUAUUUUGUUCAUCAUGGAGUUUUUGCGUGUAUUUGGUUUUUAAGAAAGACCACGUUAAACUAUUGGUUCUCUUGACUACUGAAUUCUUUACAGCCCUCUUAAAUUUUGCAACUGAGGCAAGUGCCUUGUGCACAUCCCCCUAGCCCUGACCCUGGUGGGGAUAGAGAGCUGGUGGGAGAUGGGGAGUGGGGCUGGGGAGAAGGAUGGCCCAGAGUGUCUGAAUAACACUGCACGAUGUUUUCCAUUCCAGCUGCUGCUUCCUGGCUGGAAGAUAUGGCUUGAGAUUGGACCAAAUGGCACGUUCUCAUGUUCUAGCCUGGGGCAAUCAUCCUGGCCUCUUCCCACUUCCCCGGAAGCCCAGUAUAAGAGCUGCCUCUGGGGCCCAACAGCCAGAAGCACUGAGAGUGGAGGCCUCAGACUCCUGGAGGGAAUGAUGCCCCCAGUCUGGACAGCUGGGAGACCCAGGCAGACCUGA
rnacentral:lncRNA from 1 species